GAUGAACGCUGGCGGCGUGCCUAACACAUGCAAGUCGAGCGAUCUUCUUCGGAAGAGAGCGGCGGACGGGUGAGUAACGCGUGGGUAACCUGCCUCAUACACAUGGAUAACAUACCGAAAGGUAUGCUAAUACAAGAUGAUAUAAGAGAUUCGCAUGGAUUUCUUAUCAAAGCUCCGGCGGUAUGAGAUGGACCCGCGUCUGAUUAGCUAGUUGGUAAGGUAACGGCUUACCAAGGCGACGAUCAGUAGCCGACUUGAGAGGGUGAUCGGCCACAUUGGAACUGAGACACGGUCCAAACUCCUACGGGAGGCAGCAGUGGGGAAUAUUGCACAAUGGGCGAAAGCCUGAUGCAGCAACGCCGCGUGAGCGAUGAAGGCCUUCGGGUCGUAAAGCUCUGUCCUCAAGGAAGAUAAUGACGGUACUUGAGGAGGAAGCCCCGGCUAACUACGUGCCAGCAGCCGCCGUAAAAC
rnacentral:rRNA from 1 species